UUUGGAUUGAAGGGAGCUCUA
rnacentral:miRNA from 32 species